GGCCAUAGCUCAGUGGUAGAGCACCUGUUCCCCAUGCAGAAGGUCCCUGGUUCAACCCCCAGCAUCUCCAGGUAGGGCC